AAGAACGCUGGCGGCAGGCCUAACACAUGCAAGUCGAGCGGAUGAAGGGAGCUUGCUCCUGGAUUUAGCGGCGGACGGGUGAGUAAUGCCUAGGAAUCUGCCUGGUAGUGGGGGAUAACGUCCGGAAACGGGCGCUAAUACCGCAUACGUCCUGAGGGAGAAAGUGGGGGAUCUUCGGACCUCACGCUAUCAGAUGAGCCUAGGUCGGAUUAGCUAGUUGGUGGGGUAAAGGCCUACCAAGGCGACGAUCCGUAACUGGUCUGAGAGGAUGAUCAGUCACACUGGAACUGAGACACGGUCCAGACUCCUACGGGAGGCAGCAGUGGGGAAUAUUGGACAAUGGGCGAAAGCCUGAUCCAGCCAUGCCGCGUGUGUGAAGAAGGUCUUCGGAUUGUAAAGCACUUUAAGUUGGGAGGAAGGGCAGUAAGUUAAUACCUUGCUGUUUUGACGUUACCAACAGAAUAAGCACCGGCUAACUUCGUGCCAGCAGCCGCGGUAAUACGAAGGGUGCAAGCGUUAAUCGGAAUUACUGGGCGUAAGCGCGCGUAGGUGGUUCAGCAAGUUGGAUGUGAAAUCCCCGGGCUCAACCUGGGAACUGCAUCCAAAACUACUGAGCUAGAGUACGGUAGAGGGUGGUGGAAUUUCCUGUGUAGCGGUGAAAUGCGUAGAUAUAGGAAGGAACACCAGUGGCGAAAGCGACCACCUGGACUGAUACUGACACUGAGUGCGAAAGCGUGGGGAGCAAACAGAUUAGAUACCCUGGUAGUCCACGCCGUAAACGAUGUCGACUAGCCGUGGGAUCCUGAGAUCUUAUGCGCAGCUACGCGAUAGUCGACCGCCUGGGGAGUACGCGCAGUUAAACUCAAAUGAUGACGGGCCGCCACAGCGGUGGAGCAUGUGGUUAAUCCGAGCACGCGAGACCUACUUGCUGAUGCUGAACUUCCGAAAUGAAUGUGGCUCGGAUCGACCAGCCCUGCUGAUCACUGGUCUGCAAGUUGGUAG
rnacentral:rRNA from 1 species